UCGAGGAUCUUCGGCAAUGAGCGCAAGCUUGACCGAGCGACGCCGCGUGUGCGAUGAAGGCCUUCGGGUUGUAAAGCACUGUCGAGAGGGAGAAAGGGAAACUUGAUCUAUCUCUGGAGGAAGCACGGGCUAAGUUCGUGCCAGCAGCCGCGGUAAGACGAACCGUGCGAACGUUGUUCGGAAUCACUGGGCUUAAAGGGCGCGUAGGCGGGUCGUCAAGUUUGGGGUGAAAUCCUCCGGCUCAACCGGA
rnacentral:rRNA from 1 species